AGAUCUUGGUUCAGAACGAACGCUGGCGGCGUGCUUAACACAUGCAAGUCGAACGCGAAAGGGACUUCGGUCCUGAGUAAAGUGGCGCACGGGUGAGUAACGCGUAGAUAACCUGUCUUCAUGUCUGGAAUAAUACGCCGAAAGGGGUACUAAUACCGGAUAUUCUUGCUUUUCAUAAGUUAUGCAAGCAAAGGUGGCCUCUGCAUAUGCUACUGCAUGAAGAGGGGUCUGCGUACCAUUAGCUAGUAGGUGGGGUAAUGGCCUACCUAGGCGACGAUGGUUAGCGGGUCUGAGAGGAUGAUCCGCCACACUGGCACUGGAACACGGGCCAGACUCCUACGGGAGGCAGCAGUGAGGAAUAUUGCGCAAUGGGGGAAACCCGUGACGCAGCAACGCCGCGUGAGUGAGGAAGGCCUUCGGGUCGUAAAGCUCUGUCAAGAGGAAAGAAGUGUACAAUGGCUAAUACCUGUUGUAUUUGACGGUACCUCUAAAGGAAGCACCGGCUAACUCCGUGCCAGCCGCCGC
rnacentral:rRNA from 1 species